AGCGAACGCUGGCGGCAGGCCUAACACAUGCAAGUCGAACGAACCUUUCGGGGUUAGUGGCGGACGGGUGAGUAACACGUGGGAACGUGCCUUUAGGUUCGGAAUAACUCAGAGAAACUUGUGCUAAUACCGAAUGUGCCCUUCGGGGGAAAGAUUUAUCGCCUUUAGAGCGGCCCGCGUCUGAUUAGCUAGUUGGUUGAGGUAAUGGCUCACCAAGGCGACGAUCAGUAGCUGGUCUGAGAGGAUGAUCAGCCACAUUGGGACUGAGACACGGCCCAAACUCCUACGGGAGGCAGCAGUGGGGAAUCUUGCGCAAUGGGCGAAAGCCUGACGCAGCCAUGCCGCGUGAAUGAUGAAGGUCUUAGGAUUGUAAAAUUCUUUCACCGGGGACGAUAAUGACGGUACCCGGAGAAGAAGCCCCGGCUAACUUCGUG
rnacentral:rRNA from 1 species